CACAGCUCCUGCACACUUUGUUUAUCCAAAUAUAGCGGAGAGAGGAGAAGAGAGGAGGUGUCCGUGUCCGGGCCGGAGGAGCUGCGGUGUUGUGUGACACCCUCAACGUCACUCGGGACAAAGGGAGGAGCGCUGCAGAGGCCGCCAUGUUUUGUUUUUUACAGUAUGCCAAACUGGACAAAAACCCCCCAGUUUUUAUGACAACUGAAGUGACCACAGGUUCUCUAUCGUUUGGAAGGGGGAGACCCCUUUAGGUGGCGCCAUAGUACAACAUGUUGGCUUGAUGUGACAGAAACUGGGGUGAAGUAAGUAGUAACUGUUAAUUAGAUGCACAAUUCAUUUAUUUAGUUCCUGGUUUCAUGUACAGUGAAAUGUAUUUUUUUCCUGUUUCAUAUAUUAAAACCUGACCUUUAUACAUUUCAUAUAAAGGUCAGCUUUUAACCUUUAACUAGAUGAUUUAUUAGUAGUCAAAUCUAUUUCCAUGAAACCCAUAAGUAAAGUGAGAACACUAUAAUUGUUAAAUGCCAAUGUAUUGUAGUUGUUUCAGUACUGAUAUGUACUGCCAGUCUAGUCUAUAUUCAAGGCAGAAAGACUCGCAGACAGGCAUUUUCAUGUAUGUUCCUCAUUGUGUCAUUAUAUGCACCAGUCAGUUGGAUUAUAUGUCCAUCAAUCUACCGAGGGAAUACAUCAGGUCUGAUUCCCUGUGUAACGGUACUUAUCAGCAGGGAUCUGUCGUCACUGUCUUGUUCCAGCAUCAUGUUUGUUUUCUCCUUGUCUCGGCCCGCUGGGAGCGCCUCCCUCCCCUGCCGGGCUGACAACCUCAGAUGCACGCCGGGAGCCCACCUUCUGUCUGCGGCUGGACCACUUGGCUGCUUCACAAAGGCCUUUUCUGAAUGACGGAUCCAACCAGAGGAAAACGACGGCCUGAUCACAAAAAGUCCCCCAUGUGUGACAGUGAUACUGGCUUUCACCUCUGAAAACUCAAACAUCUCAUUCUGAAGCGGUGGAGGUCAUUGCAGAGGUGAUGGAACAAGUCGAGAGCCAACUACUGCUGAGCGCUGUAUGCAGACACUCAGGGCUACAUUUUCUAUUCGAUCGACCAAUCAAGCUACUAGUGUGAAGUUCACUGGGUAAUUGGACGUGUCAAAUUAAUACAAAUAGAGGCCUGUAUGACAAGGCUCAGGCCGGUAAGAGGAUCUGGACUCAUUUACUUGAUCUAACAGAAGGAAUGUCACAGUAAGAAUACAUUUAUUUCUCCCCUGAACGAUAAAAAACCCUCACUUUCCAGA